rnacentral:rRNA from 1 species
AUGGGAUGGAUUGUUGAUUUCAGAGGUAAGGCCGAGGGAGCAAUGAUGGGUAUGCUGUUGGUGGACCUUCGAAACGAAUGGGCGAUUCAAUGUCUGGUCCUUUUCAGCUUCGCGCUGCAAGUUUUCUUGCUCUUGUUCGCGGGGAUCCGUCGGCACAACGUCUCCUUCGUGCCAAGGCUGCUCCUCUGGCUUGCGUACCAGCUGGCUGACUCAACCGCGCUCUUCACCCUUGGCCACCUCUCCAUCAGCAGCAAGCUGCCGGAGCACCAGUUGGUGGCGUUCUGGGCGCCGUUCCUCCUGGUGCACCUCGGCGGCCAGGACACGUUGACCGCCUACUCCUUCGAGGACAACCGGCUCUGGUUGCGCCACCUGCAAACUCUGGUGCUGCAGGUCAUGGCAGCUGCCUACGUCCUCUACAAGUACAUGCCCAGCAGUGAGACCUUGAUCGUGGUGGCCGCCGUCCUCAUCUUCUUCGUCGGCGUCCUCAAGUACGAGGAGAGGAUACGGGCGCUCCGGUCCGCCAGCUUCGACAGCAUCUGGACCUCUCUCGACAGCAAAUCAGGCACCACCAGCCAAAGCGAAAGCGAUGACAAGCUUUUAUUCCGGGAGUUACUGAAAAGAAGGUUCUCCCUGGAGCUGGACGCGGAGGCCGUCCUUCUCGGAGCUCACGGCCUGCUUGACGACUGCAAGGGGCUAUUCAUCGGCGCCCGGAAAGGGCGGCGCGAGUACGUUCGUGACGUCCUCGAGUCCUUCCAGAUGUACGACCGCCUGGACAAGCUCAUGGAAAUGGAGCUGUCCCUGAUGUACGAUAUCCUCUACACCAAGGCGGGCGUGAUCCACACAUGGUACGGGUACAGCGUCCGUGUCAUCUCCCUGGUGGCCACGCUGGCCGCGUUCUGGCUGUUCCAGCUGAGCGACAAGCAUGGGCACAGCAGGAAAGACGUGGGCAUCACCUACGUAUUGCUGGUCGGGGCCAUGGUGCUGGAGAUGACAUCUGUGGUGAGAGCGGCCGGCUCCACCUGGACGCGCGCCUUCUUGUACUACAGGAAAUGGUACGUGCUCCACGAUGAGCUCCUGGCUCUCCGCCGCCUUGUAAAUGCCGCCGGCUACAGGAGGUGGUCCGGCUCCGUCGGACAGUACAACCUUCUCGAGUCCCGUGCCAGGGACGCAGGAAAGCUGCCACCGGGCCUAGGGCUGGGGCUCAUGGCCGAGGACUGGUGGGACGAGCUGCGCCACUCGCGGUCCGCCCAGCUAUCCAGCUCCACCAAGGAGCUGGUGCUGAGGGAGAUACUGGAGAUGGGGAACCGGGGUGAGGAGAUCGGCUCGCUGCCCGGUCUGUUCACUCUACGGCGUUUCAGUCUGGACAAGUGCGUGGGAUGGAGCGUCCAAGACGUCGGUUUCGAGGACAGCAUCGUGGCCUGGCACCUCGCCACUGACAUCUGCUUGUCCAACGAGCAGGGCAACGACACCAAGGCCGAUGUGAUGAGCGCCAUCCGUGUGCUGUCAAACUACAUGAUGUUCCUCCUCGCGCUGCGACCAUACAUGCUGCCGGGACCUGUGAGGCGCAGCCGCUACAUCCACCACCGACGCGCUUGGCACGAGGUCAUGCUCGGGCAAGGUAGCGAUAAUUCGACACAGGGGCGACUCGCGUCGGCGCUUCGCACGGGCCUCCAUGCUCGAGUCUGCUCCUUGGAUCACCAUGAAGAUUACGACACCGGAGUGAGGCUUGCCGAUGUGCUCUACCACUACCACCAACCCGACUGCCUGGACGUCAUCUUCGGAGUGUGGGUAGAGAUGCUCUGCUAUGUCGCCAACCACUGCAGCAGAGAGUCUCAUGCAAGGCAGCUCAGCAGUGGCGGCGAACUCGUCACCAUCGUCUGGCUCAUGGCCAGGCACGCCAACUUGUCUUAG